CCCCCCCACACACACACACUCUUUGAACCAUUUUCUAACAGCAUCAGAUGUGCAAAUUUUCAGUUGCCAAAACUAAGGCACAAAUUCUUAACUUCCAAAUCUACCCUGAAAGUUGAUGUUAUUAAGCUGGUUCUGUGGGAGAACAAAAUAUCAUUUAGGAAAAAAAUGGCAAAUUUAGUCAUGCCAAUGACUGAUUCUGACAUCAUAUAGGUCAAUAAUAAACACUGGUUUGCCAGAGUUAGUGUUUUGGGGAAAUUUAAAUUAAAUUCAGUGAAAUAUAUUUGUGUGCAGAGAUUGUCCCAAAGCAGUUACCCAUAGAACCUGGUCACGUUGGAUGCCCACAGUGUUCGAUUACAUUUUGAGAACUCUAAGUGCCAAUCAGGGGUGGCCAUCUCCAGAGUUGGACAGGAUGGAAGAACACGCCAGAUUUAUCAAAAUUACUUCUGUUAAAAAGUGGGUUUUUGGUCAAGUCAAAUGGAAGCCUACCAACUUAGAGCAUCUUCUAUACCCUUCAUGGUGCAAUGGGAAAAUCAUACUUAAAGUUCCAACAGCUUUUAAAAUUCACACACACAGCCACAAAAAUGCUUUAACAUAGAGUUCAAAGGGAAAAUCGGUCUCCUGUCCUUCAAAGCAAGGCCAGACUGCUUCAUAUCUCUUUCAGCAUGAAUCUGCUUACAGGAUUGGAAAGAUAUAUGUGAAGGUUUCUCCUGAGAAGGCCAAGUCCCUCAACCUGUCCAUUCUUUUUAGUAGAGGGGCAGUGGGACCAAGGCAGAGAGCAAACACCUUCUGCAAUUCUCCAAGCCUGGCACUUUGCAGACCAAAGAAAUGCUGAUCGAUAUGGAAAAGCACAGACAACCACAUUCCCUCAGGGAAUUUUGAUGGUGACAGCACAAGAAACGGAGUAGUCAAGAAGAGAGAUUAUAGAUAACUGUAAACAGAAGGUAGACGUUGAGUUUUGUUGGGAGUUAGAGGUCUUUUUUGGAACAGGAGUGUGUUCUUGUAGGGAGAACACGUGUUUUCAGGGUGAACAGUCUGUUUAUGAAGAUAGCCUUGCACCAUCAGGAAACAUGUGCGAAGUAGUCUGCUUACUAGCAAUUAAAGGGUUUACAUUAAUUUAACCUCAUGCCUUGGUCUAGUAAUUAAUGGCAUGCACAGCAGAUGCCUUAACCACAACCACAGAGCUCAAUAAAGAUAGACAGUUGUUGGGGGGUUGGGGAGGGGGGCGGUAAGGCCAGGACCUGACCACAUUGUCUGCACAGGGUCUUCCUUAUCAAGAAGCUUAAGGUAGGGCAUUUUGUUCUAAUUCCUUCGAACUAGGUCAUGUCUCUUUUUAUUUUGGUUGAGCACAUUAAAUUAAGCAACAAGUCAAAACAUUUCUUUUUCUUGCUCUGACGUAGAAUUGUGUGCCACGUUAAGGUUAAGCACACUUUUCAAAACUCCAUUUUAGUCUAUUUUGAGGCUCCAAAAUUAUAUAGAUUUCAGUAAGAGCUCACAUGCUUCAGAGAGUAGGAAAGGAGUCCCCAAAAAUAUUUGAUGACUUGGCAACUAUCCUCACUAACUCUCAAUUAACUUCAAAAGCAAUGAGGAGUGUUGAAUGAUUUGGGAAAGGUUUAUUCUGAAAAUUUUAUCAGGUGGACAUAGUGAAGGUCAUCAGCAUGCUUUCUAAAAAAUCAAAAUGUGAAGACUUAAAUUUCUGACUGGUUAUUCCUUAAUAUAAUACAUCACGCGCAACCUGAAUUUCACUUUCCUCUAUAAUAACUUCUAUGACCUUUUGGCUUAGAUGAUCAAAUUAAGCAUUUGGUUUGACCAUAUGCUGUGUAGUCGCAUUAAAACCCACGACUGGGGAAUAAGGGAUUUGCUAGGAGCCAAUCUUGGCUAGCGAUGCUGUGCCUCUCAAGCCAAUGGAGCAAUUAAAUGGGAGAGAUUUCUCCCUGGGCAUAAAACUGCUGUUGCCAACAUAACAUGUUUAAUUAAAUUGGCCUGGGUAUAUUAAAGAUGAAAUUAGAGGAGGAUAGCUGCAAAUCUGUGCUCCAUUUUACAACCCCGUGUCUGAUCAUAUCAAAUGCAGGCGCACUUGGUUUUGUUCUCCCAGACCACAAGGUGGAGCCAGGGUAGCCAUGACUCAUUAAAAUGUCCUCAGCAUGUCUCUCACAUGUGGCCACACUUCCCUUGUGCGCAGGUACUUAUUGUCAUUCAACAAAGUGUUUCAAUCCUUUUUGAAAAAGUGGGUUUUCAGCUCAGGAAAACAGCAGCUAUUUUAAGUUGUUUAUAGCUCUAAACAUCAAUGCUCCUGUUUGAACAGAUAAAAGUCUUUAUUCCCCUGUAUGUUUACAUAAGAAAUUUGUUUACAGACUUGUUUUUAUAUAAUACUUGCGUAGCAAUGUUCAAAUUUCACAUUUUUACUGCAUAAGAUAGCUUCAUGUACCUCUGUUUGCUCUGUCUUCUUGGGAGAGCGGGGAUAAUGACCUGUGGUAAAUAUACAUCCACGUGAGGAGGGGCGUGCAAUAGGGCAGAGAGUACUGGCAGGAAAAGAGUACAUUCAGAUACUAUAUCAAAGUGGGAACCAAGACAGUGUCUUCCACUCUAGCAACUACCACCACUAGGUAACUUUGCAUUACCCAAAACACCUCCCUCCCCCACCUCAGUGAAGGGACACCAAGGAGAAACAAAAUGGUAUCUUGAUACAGAUUAUUUGAAAUGGAAGCCAUUCAGGAUUCAUUCUGACUCAAAAAACCCAAGCACAUCCAGGAACAUUACUAGCAUGGACAAGGAAAAGGCUAACAGCUCAUAAAUGUAUAGUCUCUAAAGGGGAAUGAAAGAUAGCUUUGUAAUAUCUGGAGUAUUUCAGUAAAUAUUCCAUUUUAAAAUUCAUGUGAUAGUUUCUCUGUUCCGCUUGGCAGCCUCUAAUUUACUUAAUUCAGUAUUUUGGACAAUCUUAUCUUUUUUUCUUUUCUUUUUUCUUUUUUUAAAUGAGGUUACCCUGUCAUUUUUAUCUCCAAACUCUAAGCUAGUGGCUAUAGUAUCUGGAUAGUCUUAUAAACUGAGAAAGUUAAAGACUCAUGGAGCUCACAAACUUCAUCAUGGAAACUUUAUUUUGGCCCAAGGUAUCUACAGUGUGCUGGGCUGAACAAGUUAUUAUCUUCAUACCUCUGGGAUGAGGUCAACCCCGAAGGUCCCCUGCUUACCACAGCACUGCUGAAAGCAAAGCUGUUUCUGAUCUGGGAGAAGAUUGGGCUGACUUAAAUAAAAAUGAUCAAUUAUUGGUCAGGAGAGUGGGAAAAAGUAUUAUAAACAAAAUUAACAUGUCAUCUUGAGAAAAACAGCCUCUUUUUUUGUUUGUUCCCCUAUAAUUAUUAGCAAUCCAAGUUUUAUAAUUAUAAUUUAAGUGGCAAGUUCAUUAUCAAAUGACACUGAACAACGUGACAACCUAUUUUAGAGGUAUUUUAAAAAUAUGUAUCUUCCAUUUUUCUAAACUACACUAAAGACAGGCUAAACCAGUCAUUCACUUAUUCAGAAUAUUAAGAAAGUUAAGAAUGAUCAUUGUCCCUUUCCAUUAUAAGGUUCUUCCUGAAAAUGUUGUGUGGAUUAUAUUCUUUACUAUCUUUAAUAGUAACUACUCUUGAUCUUAGGGUGGUGAUUUUGCCUUUGGAAACAGCUAAAUGUCACUUAGAACCAAGAGUGGUAGAAAAAGUAGACUAAAAAAACACACACCUAUUUUCAGGUGCUGAAAGUGAUACCAAUUAGGUAAUAAUAACUGAUUUUCUUAUACCUUAUUACCUUCCUUGAUAGUAUUUCUAAGGAGAGCAGUUUCAAAAAUAACUUUAAUGAUUAAGAUAAGUAUUAGGUUCCCAACUAAAAUCAAGGAACAACACUCAAUUAGAUGUCAAAAUUCCAAUAUGUCUGCUAAAGUAAUCAUUAAUUAUAACCAUAUUUAUAAGUGUCCACUUAAGCCUUAUCUCUUGUGAUAUGUUUUUAAAAACAAUGGGACUUGAAUUUGGCAAUCUAGUUAUUAGAAUGCUCUAAA